UUAAGUUCAGCGGGUAUCCCUAUCUGAUCCGAGGUCAAAAGGUAGAAAAUAGGUUUAGAGUGCCCGAGAAAGCCCCCGCACAGCAGAUUCUACUCCGCUACGUACGGGCUCCGCAAGCACUUAUUUUUUCAAGGUGAGCCUACUAGAGCAGCAGGACAAGCACCCAACACCAAGCAGAGCUUGAAGAGGUAAAUGACACU
rnacentral:misc_RNA from 1 species